rnacentral:tRNA from 1 species
CGAAGAAUAGUCCAAUUAGGAUUCUGGCCUUGGGUGCCAGGGAUAGAGGUUAAGGUCCUCUUUUUUCGA